rnacentral:tRNA from 1 species
UCCGUUGUCGUCCAAAGGUUAGGAUAUCUGGCUUUCACCCAGGAGACCCGGGUUCGAUUCUUGGCAACGAAA